UUCCGUUUUUUUUUUAAACCAAAAACUUUUACUUACUUCUUCCGCCACUGCUAAGAUGAAACAAUGAGGAUGUAAGGUGAAUGUGAAGGUGAAGGCUUAUAGGAUGGAUCGCAUGGCAGAGGUCCAGCAAAUUCCCCCCUUUUCUCCGUUCACUUCCUGAGCAAGGUGUCGAGGAUGUGAACAAAACAGGACCCGCCUCCUGCGACGCAGCCGCCGCCGCCGCCACCACCACCGGGGGGGGAGGUUGUUGACAGGCGCCCCCGCCCUGCCUCUAUUGUCAGCGGUCCGAGAGGAAUAUUUAUUUUAUUUUGAACGUGGAGGAAGCAGGAGAAGAACGGCCAAGGUGACAGUCUAUGGAGUCAUCUGGACAUCAGUGACAAAUCCAAAAUGUCACAGCAGACAAAACUGUGGAGGUGCAGAAAUACCUCGGUGAAACCAAUCUUGGCCUGCUUGAGGAUCCACUGCAAUCCUGGGAAAGACAGAAAUGAAUUUAUCCAUGCCUUUAAAAGCUGUUAAUGUGGUUUUUAUGUACCCCAGCUUCAUCUGUGCCCUGUGAAAGAUUGCUCUCAAAGGCAGGGGAGAUCAUUUCAGAAAAACUAAAUUGUCUUCGUCCCAAAACACAAGUUCAAGUCACAUUUCUUAAUAAAAAUGAAAUGUUUUCCCAAAAUCAUUCUCCAUUAUACAUCUGCAUUGCUGACAUUGCCCGGUGACUACUCACUUUUCACACUUAAGUUAAAACAC